CUUUUUUUGGACUACACAGUUUUCCAUGGUGUCAAUAUAUGGGGGGAGUGGCCACCAUGUUUAAGUACACACGUUCCAGCCUCCCCAUGCCAAGCUGUGUGCAUGUAAGGGACCCUUCUGUCCCUGAAAAUAUUGAAGAGGGAUCAAGAGUUAGAGAUGGGAGGGGCCUUAUUACGCUGUCCAGUCCAGUAGCCUUGAGUCACAGAUGGCUUUUAAGCAUUUGAAAUGUGGCUAAUCCGAACUGAGACAUACUGUAAAUGUAAACUACUCACCUUAUUUUUAAGAUUUCAUUAAAAAAAGCAUGUGAAAUAUCUUAAUAAUUUCUUAUAUUUUUUACAUGUUGAAAGGAUAACAUUUUGGAUAUAUUGGCUAAAUAAAAUAUACCAUUAAAAUGAAUUUCACCUAUUUCUUUUUACUUUUAUAAAUGUUAUUGUUAGCUGCUGUUGAGUUGGCCCCCAACUCAUGGUGACCCCAUGCACAACAGAAAUAAAUGCUGCCUGUCCUAUGGGGUCAAUAUGAGUCGGAAUCGACUUGAUGGCAAGAGGUUUUUUGAUUUCUUCCUAUGCUAUCCCCAGGAUCAGUGGCAUUGAGAUCCAUAGGGUUUUCACUGGCUGAUUUUUUCAGAAGUGGAUCACCAGGCCUUUCUUCCUUGUUUAUUUUAGUCCAGAAGCUCCACUGAAACCUGUUCAGCAUCAUAGCAGCACGUAAGCCUCUACUGACAGAUGGGUGAUGGCUGCACAUGAGGUACAUUGGUUGGGAGUUGAACCCAGGUCUCCUACACAGAAGAAGAGAAUUCUACCGCGGAACUACCAAAGCUCCCUUUUCAGCGUAGCAACUAGAAACUGUGAAAUUACAUUUGUGGCUUGCAUUUGUGACCAGCAUAUUUCUACUGGACAUUACUUCCUCAGAGACUUGGAGCCCAGGGAGAGGGCUGGGCAUGGGGAGGAACUAAAUAUAGCAGAAGGGGAGAAAGCAAAGGAGGAGGAAGGAGAUGGAUAGCAGCAGCCAAUGGAAGUCCCCCCCCCCGGCUGGCGCUCAGGAGGUCUGGGCCCUGUCUCUCACAGUGACUUGCUGGGAGACUCAAGGACCAGUAUCUUCUUUCCAGUCUCAGCUUCCUCUCAUGGAAAACAAAGGAGCUGGACCUGACAACGAAUAGGAGUAGAGAAUGUUGCCUCCGGAAGGGCAGGGCUUCCUCUCUGUUUUGUCCCCUGAAGCUAAUAGGAAGUGAAAUGGAAGAUUUGAGUUUUCCUUUUCAUGAAGUGUUAGACUUACCAAGGUGUCAGAACUUGGAGGCUGGUGGAGAUCAUAGGCUGCCUUGGACUAUGGAGGCUUGAUCCUACCAGGGGUACCAUUCUUGUCAUAUGCCCACCAGAUAUGGCUCGGACACCCCCUCCUCCCUUGUCCCGGAGUAAAGGCUGGGAGGCAAUCUGUGCCCUGUCACCACCUGCAAGGAGACUCAGGCCCUCUUUCCUGAGAGCCUUGCUGCCCACUGGAUGUCAGUUAAAGACACUGCCUUACAUCACACAUGUUGGUCUGCAGGAAACAUUCUCUUUCCCACCCUCGCAGUGAUGGGCUCCUGGAAAGGUCAACCUGAAAGAAAAGAGAGACAAAGAGAGAAAAUGUAAAAGCAUCUAAGUGGCUCGUCUCUUGUAUGUGGAGUCUUAGAACCCAGAUCAAGAACUUGGGCCUGAAUGGACUUCAACUGGGCCACCCGUUCAAGUGUAACUGUCUUGGGACCCCUUCCAGCCUGGAACACAACGAACUCAAACACACAUUUUAGUUGGCUUGUUUAAAAAAAAAAAAAAAAACAACUCUGAAAUCCUACUAAUUGUUUGGAUUUCUGGAGAAAGGCUGGUGACAAGAGAAAAAAUUUCUCCUUGGCCAGAUGUCUGGCUUCUUGCAUCAAACUCUUGCGACCUCAAACAGUGUCGUGGAUGUUUUCUUUCACGCUAGCCACCUGUGGCCCAGAUCAGCAUCUAUUUUGCAGGUCCCCAUGUUUUUUUUGGGUUAUGUCCAUAUUGAAUGCUCCUCGGUCUUGUCUUCACCGACCGUCCUCUUUGUUCUCUGACAUAUGAUGAAGAUCUAAGAAGCAGUAGUGUCAGAGAAGCGGCAUUUUGAAGAUUUGAGAGGAAGGGCUGACCUCAAAAUUUUAUAUCUAGGUGUAUGGAAACACAGGAAAUUCUUUUAUCCCUGUGCAGAAUUCUUUCAUUAAACUCAUUCAGAUGGACAAAAGUUAUAUGCAGUAAAAUACCUGUUCGAUUCUGAACGUGUUUAUUGGUGGAAAGAAUUUUGCUUUCUAGAAAACUUAUGUCUUCUAUACAGUGGGAGUAACAAACAGGUCGAAAGAGAGGGUCCUGGGCCAAGUGACCUCUAGAAUUUUCUUCUAGCUGUAAGGUCAAUAAGUCUAUAAGUACCUCUUCUGGGGUUUUACCCAUUCUUGAUGGGAAUGUCAGGGUUAGAGGAAGGGCAUCAGACCAGGUGCAUCCCUGGAGGGGCCACCUUCUGUGGCAGAUUCUUCUCUAUAGACAUUUGCUCUUUAGAAACAGAGUUAAGGUCAACCCAUUUCCCAGCAAGUCAAUAAACUGCCUUCUCAUCUAGGCCAGUAGAAUAGCCAUAAAUGAACUCAAGUAUCAUCAAGUCUCUUUGGAGAGAUUUUUGAACUUUUGGAACAUGCAUCUGUGAACUGGCUGGGGCCCAGAAUUCACUGAAGGGAGAACAAAUAUGAAAGAAUAUGAUGGACCCAUGGAUUACCUUCUUGGCAUUCCCUAGAACAGCUGUCUGGCAAAUGUUAUACCACGUCUGAGAUUAUUUUAGAAACUUUGUUUUGAAGAAGAACACAUAGGGAGAAGACCAGACAGAUUUGCCCUCAUUUUCCGUCAUAGAGUAAGAAUUUCAAGGACAUUUUUGUUUUCAAUGAGAUCACGCUGGCUGUGGUCUUAUCAUCUUUGAAACUUAAAUCAUGUCAGAUCUCAUAAAUGUACAGGUAAGUGCAGUUGUAGAAAUGAGAAAAUAUUUGAGGUCUUCUUCUUCCUCUUCUUCAUUAUUAUGAUAAAUGGAAUAUUCUGAAGAUGUCUUAAACAAUAGAAUUCCUCCAAGUAUCACUAGGAGCCUAUUCUAAAUGAAAUACACACGGAAUGGUAAAAUGACAAAUGACAUGUACUUUCCUAAAUUCCCGUUCUGGCCUCUUCUUGUGUCCAAAUGUCAUAUUUUCCGGGUUCAGUGAAACAGCAAGUGUCUUAGUUAUUUAGUGCUGCUAUAACAGAAAUACCACAGGCGAAUGACUUUAAUAAACAGGAAUUUAUUCUCUCACAGUUUAGGAGGCUAGAAGUCCAAAUUCAGGGUGCCAGCUCCCAGGGAAGUCUUUCUCUGUCGGUCCUAGGGGAAGGUCCUUUUCAUCGAUUUUCGCCUAGUCUAGGAGCUUCUCAACACAGGGACCCCUGGUCUAAAGGAUGCACUCUACUCCUGGCUUUUCUUUCUGGGUAAUAUGAGGUGUCUCUCCUCUCUGCCCGUUUCUCUGUUUUAUAUUUCAAAAGAGAUUGAGUCAAGAUACAACGUAAUCCUAUAGAUUGUGUCCUGCCUCAUUAACAUAACUGUCUCUAAUCCUGCCUCAUUAACAUCAUAGAGGUUAGGAUUUACAACACAUGGGAUAAUCACAUCCGAUGACAAAAUGGUGGACCACCACACGAUACUGUGAGUCAUGACCUGACCAAGUUGACACAUAUUUUUGGGGGUCACAAUUCAAUCCCUAACAGCAAGGCAAGAUAAAGCUCAGUGUAGGCUUGGGAUCUAUAACUGUGGGAGUGAGAGUGUGGCCUGGCGUGAGUCCCCAUCAUGUCCUUGUUCACAUCAGAAUUGCAAGCAAAGGUAUCGUUUGUCAAUAUGUGCCACCUACCUAGAGGUAGGCUCUGAACUAUGAACACCUGACUCCCUGUUACCUAAAAAUGCCACCUUAGGAGUUCUGAAAAUGAAGUUGUGUGUGUGUGUGUGUGUGUGUGCACAUGACUGCAUGAGUUCAUGCAAGGUUGUAUGAGCAUGUGUGUGGUUAAGAAAUCGUGUAUCCAGGGGAUGGGAUUCCCUUAUCAAUUGGUACUCUGGCCUGAGAAGCUGAGAAGGGGUAUUCCAUACUUGGCAGGGCUGAGGUUGCAGCGGGAGGCAGGGUUAGAUGUGAUGGGAAAAGGGACUGUGAAAUGGUAAAGGAAUGUGUUCAGAGGUCUGAGUUCCAAAUCAGAUUCAAUUUUUCUCUACUUUUGUUUUCAUUGUGUACCCGUGUGUGUGUAUUGGUUACAUUACACUCCAAUUAAGGUUUUUUUUGUGUGUGUGUGACUAAUCUGGAAAUCAAACUAUAAUUUGUAACAUCAUUUGUUGUUGUUAGUUGCCAAUUUUGUUCUGACUCAUGAUGACCUUAUGUAUAACAGAAUGAAAUGUUGCCCAGUCCAGCACCAUCUCCAUGAUCAUUGGUAUAUUUACUCUAAAUAUAAUUUAAAAAACAAAACAAAACAAAAACUUUUGGAACACAGCAGGAUUUCGAGUUGGAGACAGCCUACUUCACUGGGCGAGGAUUGGAGGGUUGGUUCAGCUUCCUGUUGAACAUUGUGGAAAUACCCGAGGCAUUCCCCAGGCACGACACGUCUUUGAGAAAUGAGAGUUGAAAUAGAGAGCUGAGUUAGCCCCAGCACACCUAGGGAACUGUUGAUGUUUGUGGAUUUUACGCACCUCUUCAUGAAGGAAAUGAGUGUAUGCUAACUGAAUGUCUCCUCUUAUUCCCACCCUUCAUUUUCUUUCACUUAAGCCUUCCACAAGUUAUAAACCAAAAAAUCAAACCCAUUGCUGUCUAGUUGAUUCCGACUCAUAGCGACCCUAUAGGACAGAGGAGAACGGCCCUAUAGGGUUUCCAAGGAGCAGCUGGUGGAUUUGAACCACUGACCUUUUGGUUAGCAGCUGAGCUCUUAACCACUGCGCCACCAAGGGCUUCUCCCCAGGUUAUGGCUAUGCAUUUUUGGCAGGAUACCACAGGAAUGAUUCCCUGUUCUCCUCCUUGCAUCCAAUCAGGUAUUUGAUGCAGGGCAGACUGGAAUCCUCACCACAAGGCUGCCUGGCCUGGGCGGUCAUAAGGUCAGUCAGUGCAGCAGGGUCAUUUCCUGGGGGAAUGAACCCCACCCACUCUGGCCCUGGAAUGAUGCCUGCCUUAUCUUCCAUCCCCAGCAAGCCUCCAUCUUGGCUGGCUCUGGGCCAUACAAUCAGAUGGAAAUGGAUGUCAGCAAGCACAAGACACCCAACCAUGCCAAGCGAGCUGUUUAAAGGCAAGGAUCCAGAACCAGGAAUGCCCCCCAUGACUGCCCAGGGUGCGGGGGGGGGGGUGUUAAGAAUGGCAUGCAAAAUCAUUUGUAACCUAGCCCCAGGUUGCCUCAGGCUUGACCUGUGGGUUUUCAAGUCUUAAAGAAGACCAUGGCUAUGGCAGUGCCUGGCUCAGUGCCUGACCUAGAGUAGACACUUAAAAACCAGCCUCCUGCCUCUUCUUUUACCUACACUCAGCCCCAGACUUGCAUGCCAUUUGCUGGGCAUUUCAUAUUCUGCCACCCCCAUGCUGCCAACCUUUCCUGCUAUGCCUGUCAACCUCCUUUUUGCGAAGGCUUCCCUGAAUACUUCUAACUACGCAAAUAAAAAAGGCAAAGUUGAAAGUAAUGAAAUUUCAACGAAAUCUGUACAAAAGGAAGCAUGAUGCUAACCUCAUUAAUCAUUCAAUUUUGUAUUCGUACAAAAUUCAUUGCGUUUUAAAACAAUAUAUGGUUAGAUUUUCCUGGGCUUCGGUGAUGAUUGCUGAGAAUGUUGUAGAAAAUCUAAAAUCAAACAAGUUACUUAGAGGUGAUUGCCUUUGCCAGCAAAAAAAUUAUAGAACUAAGACAUUUUUAAAAAUAAAAAUUACAUUUGAUGUGGGAUAAGCAUGCUUUUGAAUAUAUUUAAAAGAGGAUAGAAUGAGGUCCCCAACCAGAAGAGCCGAGGGCUUACAAAGAACCCACGCCAGCCAAAGCUGUUAGGUAGUGAGCCUCUUGUCCUUGGUGGUAAGACCACAGAGGCUGGACAACCAGAGUUUUGUGGAGACGUAAGAGCCUUCCCAUGUUAGAUGGUGGAGUGAGACUCAGUCCCUGAAUAGUUUUGACCCUGGACGGGAUGAUUCCCCUCUUGGCCUCAGGGCCUUCUAUAAAACAAACAAACAAAAAAUAUGCAAAGCUCCUUUAAGCUCUUUUAUACCUUUAAAACUUUGAAUUAGUUGGACUACAUGAUCUCUCUCUGUCCCUGAGAGUUAAAUUCUAUGCAUUGUCCCCCGAGCUUUGAUUCCAAGAGCUGUUUAUUUUGAGCAUCAGUGUCUGCACAGCCCAUAAUCAAGGGCUCCGACUCGCUUACUGCUGAUGUCGCUUCUGGAGAGGAAGUUGGCCAGCCAGGUUCUGUGAGCUGGCGUUCUCACCCCUCUAAAUAUAAUUGAGGCUCUGCCCUGGGGGCUGGAUAUAGAGAAAGGUAGGCUUUCUUUCCAUUGCAUUUAGUACAUUAGUUUGAAGCUUUUGCCUUAAGAAUUGUAUCAAGCGAAGGAACUCAUGAAGAAAAAGAUGUUUGCUAAGGGGCCAUGACUGAUGGGUACUGGCAGUCAGCUGAGCUCUGAGGCACUUGGGUCACAGUGGUUAGGGUACACCAUUGACAGCAUCAAGGAGAGGAAGAAUGGAAAGAGUGAGGAGUGUUACAUGGCACCUGGUGACGUUGCCUGGCGUGUAAUCGGAAGCUCUGCCAGUUAGUGAGGACUGUUCUGGGCACGGACCUCUCCUCCUUUCUGAAGGAUGAGGCUGUAUCAGUCAGUUCGGCUUCACUCUGCUGCAGUAACAAGCAACUCCAAAAUUUCAAUGGCUUACAGCACCAGAGGCUUGUCUCUUGCACUCACUUCUGGACUAUGAUGGGUUAACUGUGGCAUUGCUCCAGGUCAUCUCCACUCAGGGACCGGGCUGAUGGAGCAGUGCAUUUGGAAUAUUGCCAGCCUUGUGGCAGAGGGAAGGCCCUUGGGAGGUGCAAACAGUUUGUGCUUGACUACUAAGCUGAAGGUUGGUGGUUCAAACCCACCCAGUGGCGCUGUGGGAGAAAGACCUGGAGAUCUGCUUCUGUAAAGAUUACUGCCAAGAAAACCUUAUGGAGCAGUUCUACUCUGUAACACAUGGGGUCGUUAUGAGUUACUGUGUAAGGCAUGGGGUUGCAGUGGGUUUUGUGGCAGAGGGAGAAAAGCAGAGGUAAGCCUUGAGCUGGCUUUUAAUCUUCUGCCCGGAAGUGACGUGUGUCACUUCCGCACGCUUCACUUGUCAAUCAUGUGGCCAAGCAUGAGGAAAGGAAAUGCCAUCUUCUCCAAAUAGGGCAGCAGAUCUUUAUGAACAACAAUACGGUCUGCCACAGGGACUGUCGAAGGAGCCCCUCUGUCUGUUGAGCAACUGCACAGACUCCUCUGUCUCUUCCCAGACAGGGAAGAUUGCUGCCCACCUUGUUGUUGUUGUUGUUAGGUGCCAUUGAGUUGGUUCUAACUCAUAGUGACCCUAUGCACAACAGAGCGAAGCACUGACUGGGCCUGUGCCAUCCACACAAUCGUUGCUAUGCUUCAAACCAUUGUUGCAGCCACUGUGUCAGUCCAUCUCACUGAGGGUCUUCCUCUUUUUCGCUGACCCUCUACUUGACCAAGCAUGAUGUCCUUCUCCAGGGACCGAUUCCUCCUGAUAACAUGUCCAAAGUAUGUGAGACGUAGUCUUGCCAUCUUUGGUUCUAAGGAGCAUUCUGGUUGUACUUCUUCUAAGACAGGUUUGUUUGUUCUUCUGGCUGUCCAUGGUAUAUUCAACAUUCUUCGCCAACACCACAAUUCAAAGGUGUCAACUCUUCUUCCAUCUUCCUCAUUCAUUGUCCAGCUUUCGCAUGCGUAUGAGGCGAUUGAAAACACCAUGGCUUGGGUCAGGCGCACCUUAGUCCUCAAGGUGACAUCUUUGCUUUUUAACACUUUAAAGAGAUCUCUUGCAGCUGAUUUGCCCAAUGCAAUGCAUCUUUUGAUUUCUUGACUGCUGCUUCCAUGGCUGUUGAUUGUGGAUCCAAGUAAAAUGAAAUCCUUGACAACCUCAAUCUUUUCUCCGUUUAUCAUGAUAAUUGCUUAUUGGUCCAGUGGUGAGGAUUUUUAUUUUCUUUAUGUUGAGGAGCAAUCCAUACUGAAGGCUGUGGUCUUUGAUCUUCAUCAGUAAGUGCUUCAAAUCCUCUUCACUUUCAGCAAGCAAGGUUGUGUCAUCUGCAUAACACAGGUUGUUAGUAAGUCUUCCUUCAAUCUGACGCCCCAUUCUUCUUCGUAUAGUCCAGCUUCUUGGGUCGUUUGCUUUCCCAAAACCCUUAGCACUCACUUCUCCAAUGACUGUGCUGUCUGCAGGCUCUGACCAAAUGCCGUUGUUCUUUAUCCUGCUCUAUCCAGGGCUUCUAUCCUUCCUUACUCCCCGUGCCCCCCAGGCUAUAACUUGAGAAAAUGAUGGAGUUAUAGUGUAUUGCCAUUGUCCUGAAGACCUGCUGUUUGGGUUGUGCUUUCCAAACAUAACCUAAAUUGCAUGUUUAAAUCAUGAUUAUUUUCACAGCCACUGUAGGAAGAUCACUCUGCUCCUUGCAGUUUGCAGAGGCUCUGAGAAAUGGUCAAGGGCUUGACCCUGGAGACACAGAUUCAUCUGGAGAUCCCAGAAGUCUUCCACAACUAUGGCAGGAGAACCUUAGAGAGUGGGGCUGCUAGGAUUCUGAAUGGUCCCUGAAAUCCUACGUAAAAUUGUAUGCGGGGCUGAGAGGACAAGAGAGCGUGUGUUCAGCGCUUGUGCAUUUUCUGGGGCCAGGAACCAUAGCUCACAUGCUGAUUCUCAAAGACCUGUGGACCCAGAAAAAUGAAGGACCACAGCAUCUAAUCCAAUCCUGCCAUUUUCCUGGAGAUAGGGAAAUUGAGGCUUGGUUCCUUGCACCAAAUGAACUGACUCUAUUUAAUAAAUUGACCGAUAGCUUUGAAACCUUAGUUUUGUUUCAACGACUUAAUUUCUCCAAUAUUACAACCUACUCUGGGAAAAAGGCAGGCCCUUUGGAAAGUUGCAUUGACUUUGAAAGCCACAAGGGAAUCGUUUGAUACAUUCCUGCCCUGGCAAUUAUUACCUCCGAGAGCCUGCAGAGCUACCUCCAGUCUUCCUGUUGGUCUCCGAGGGGACUCAUUAUGUUUCUAACAGGCCAGUAUGAAAACUUACAACGCUGGCUUACCAGAAGGGUUUGCUUUGGGAAUUUCAUAGACAGGGCUGCUUCUGUCUUGUAAAGAAAUUUGGAUCCCACAAGCAGAGUAGGAGAGGACGAUGGCAGAUGAUAAUAGCAUUGCAUACCUACCAGGCAGAGAACCAAUGGCCCAGAUCUAUUCAGGCCCCCAGCCCUUCUCCAUGAAGCUGGCUGGGGGUGAGUGGUAUUUUCUCUUUAGAGAUUAGGAAACAGAGGCUCCACCUUUUAUUAGUCUCUGGUGCAGGGAUUCUUAACAGGGUCCUUGGGUGCGACUCCUAGGGUCUAUGAACCCCUGAAAAGAUCUGCAAAGAUACGUAUGUAUUUUUAUAUGUAUUUGGAGAAGGGGGGUGCGUAUGAUUUCCAUCAGAUUCUAUAAAGCUCUGUGACCAUAAAAGGUUCAGAACUGUGACAGUGGGGUUUCUAUUUUUGUAAAUAAUUAGCAGGUUAGCCAAUCUUGAAGCUCAGCUGUGUCUUUUUUGAUACAUUCUCUCCUUUUUCUCUUGGGGGCUGACUUCCUCAAGAAGAGGCAAGCCGGAAGUGAGAACCAUUUUUAAGGCGUUUCCUGGGUGGUACAAAUGGUUUGCUCUUGACUACUAACCUCAAGGUUGGUGGUUUAAAGCCACCCAGUAGUGCCACAGAAGAAAGGCCUGGUGGUUUGCUUUCCUAAAGAUAACAGCCAAGAAAACUGGAUGGAGCACAGUCCUACCCUGUAAUACGUGGGGUUGCCAUGAGUCGGGAUCAACUCCAUGGCAACGGGUUUGGUCUCCUUCCUUUUCCUUUAGGUAACUUUCCCUUACCUAUCCCUGUUCUUGAAAGUUUAAAAUCUUACUUCUACCCACGGUAGUCCUAUGGUAGGAUGACAGAGCAGAAAGAAACCUUAAAAAUCGUCAGGAUUUACAGACGGAAAAACCGAGGCGGAGAGAGAAUUGAGUGGAUCCCAUUCACGUAGUAAAUAAGUGAUUGAGUUAGGGUUUGUUGCUUUUCAAGACAUCAACUCCUGUCUCGACUGGAAAUCUCUUGCCAAUGUUUCUUAACAAAUCACAAUUCCGAGUGACUCAUUUUUCUUGGCAUUAUGCAAAUGAAGGAGACAAGGCCUUCUGAGGGCAGGAAAUGAAGCUCCCUUGGGACCUGUUGUAGUGAUAGAAAUGGGUUCUAGAAGAGCCAAGGCUUUGUUCAUUUCGGUUCAUCAUUUUGGCCAUGGCUGGAGGGGUUAGCUCCCAGCCCACAUUCCCUGAGAGUGCUAAGCCCAAGAGGCUUAUCAGGCCCCCCGUUGUUACUGGGUGCAGCUGAAUUGAUUUUCGACUCAUAGUGACCCCAUGUGACAGAGUAGAACUGCCCCAUAGGGUUUUCUAGGUUGUGAUCUUUACGGGAGCAGAUUGCCAGGUCUUUCUCCUUCGGAGCCUCUGGGUGGGUUCAAACCACUAACCUUUCGGUUAGCAGCUGAGCGCUUCACCAUUGAGCUACCAGGGCUGCCUCAGAACUUCUAGGCUAUCUCUAGAGCUGCUUUCAGAAGCUCUUGCCCUCCCUCCCUAGCCCAGCUUCCCACUGAAGGAAAUAUUAACUUUUGUGUUAGAUGUUUUGAACCAACCAGUCGCAACCAGGUGAAACAAAGCCACAGAUUAUUGUAGGGGCCUGGAGAAGUACCUGAGCUCACGCUGUUAGACUUCAUGGGGAUUUUUAUUUUUAAAUCUUUUUUUUUUGCCUCACAAGCUGACUUUGUUCUGGCUGGAGGGCCCCUGAAUCUUGUAACCUCCAUGAGGGGUAAAGUUGAGUGUUAAUCUCACUAAUAAGGGGUCAGUUACCGAACCUACAUGUGCCUGGGUGUCUUCAAAUGGACAUAGUGUUUCUUCAGAGGGCCUGUGACGAAGUACCUCAGAAAUGUAGCCAUUUAUAAGAAACUCAUUGCUGUCAAGUCGAUUCUGACUCAUUGCAACCCUAUAGGGCAGAGUAGAACUGCCCCACAGCGUCUCCAAGGAGCAGCUGGUGGAUUCGAACUGCUGGCCUUUUGGUUAGCAGCCAAGCUCUUAACCACUGCACCACCAGGGCUCUAGUAUUCAUAAGAAAGAAGAGUGUUAUUUGCCACACAGUGGAGGAACUGGAGGAUUUUUUAGAGAUCAUUCACUUAUUAGACAGAUGGAGAAACUGAGGCCCUAAGGGGGGCAGUGGCUGGCCAAGGGCACAGAGCCAGGUGGUAGCAGAGCUGGCCUAGAGACUAGGAUCUCCUGACUGAGUUGGUAAGCUUUGGGUUGCUCUACACAACCCCGCCUCCCUUUAUCCUUCAAACCCAUGAGCCGUCCUCAAACUUUAGUCUCCAAAUUGUACCCAGUCGAAAUUUUAAGAACUAAAGCAUACAGAUGAUGAGACCUCCCAAGUAGCUUCUAAGGGGCUUUUGAACAUACUAUCAUUUAAAUAGCAUUGGAAACGAUGGCAACUGUCCUAGUCUGUUUCAAGUAGAGAAAAAAACCAGUUGCUGUUGAGUAGAUUCUGACUCACAGUGACCCAUGUGUGUCCGAGUAGAACUGUGUUCCACAGCGUUUUUGACGCUGAUUUUUCAGAAGUAGAUUGCCAGACCUUUCUUCUGAGGCAUCUCUGGGUGGACUGGAACCACCAACCUUUUGGUUCACAAUGAAUGGCUCACACGACCUAGAGGCUCCUUAAAUAGAGGGUCCUCUUUGCAGUCAGGGUAUUAUGUUCACUUUCCUUUGCUCCCUAAAUUUGUCAGGUUACAGGCUACCACAGUGCCCAGGGCUCCUACUGUAAUCCACAGAUGUCCAAGGCCACUUUUGUGGGAAACAUUUCUCAUCUCCUCCAGUACCCGAAGCCCAUUGCCCCUGAGUCAAUUCCGACUCAUAGUGACCCUAUAGGACAGCGUAGAACUGCCCCUUAGGGUUUCCAAGGAGCAGCUGGUGGAUUUGAUCUGCCCACCUUUUGGUCAGCAGCCGAGCUCUUACCCACUGCACCGUCUGCAGUAGAGACUUCAAAACAACGCUCCCCAGCCCUGCUCCAGACCCUUGAAGUUUCUAUGGUGCAGGAGAAGCCAGGGAGAUUUGUGAUCCUGGAGUCCCACACAGAGGCCCAACCCAGGCCCAAGGACUAGGCCUGAAGCGAGAGUCCAACCCGGAAUGUAACAUUCUCCCAACGGAGCAAGGAGGAGUGGCCAGCAGCCGGAAUGAAACUCCUGGGCUUUUUAUUGAAUCCAUAAAACAAAAGGUGAGGGGGCUCUGGGUAGGGGAAGAACGCAUUAUGAUUUAUGGCUUUGAUCUGGAAAGGAGGAGAACAUGGAGCUCUUUUCAACUAGGCGUGUGAUUCAUUUCCCCGGGAGCUGCAGGGCCAGGCAGGGCGUGCGCCACAGCCUCCAGCCAGGCGCACACUCGGCCGGCUCGUUUAUUUAUGGUGCUCCAUCAGGGGCUGUGCGCUGCGAUAAAGUU